rnacentral:rRNA from 1 species
CGGGAGUGACUUAGCGGCGGACGGGUGAGUAACGCGUGGGUAACCUGCCCCAUACCGGGGGAUAACGGUUAGAAAUGACCGCUAAUACCGCGUAAGCGCGCGAGGCCGCAUGGCCCCGGGCGAAAAACUCCGGUGGUAUGGGAUGGGCCCGCGUCUGAUUAGCUAGUUGGCGGGGUAGAAGCCCACCAAGGCGACGAUCAGUAGCCGGCCUGAGAGGAUGAACGGCCACAUUGGGACUGAGACACGGCCCAAACUCCUACGGAAGGCAGCAG